GCUGGGUGCGGUGACGCAUGCCUGUAAUCCCAGCUGCUUGGGAGUUUGAGGCAGAAGUAUUGCAAGUUCAAAGCCAGCCUCAGC
rnacentral:sRNA from 1 species